GCCCGGGUAGCUCAAUCGGUAGAGCGUGUGGCUCUUAUGACAACAAAUAGAUCACCUCAAGGUCGUGGGUUCGAGCCCCACCUCGGGCU
rnacentral:tRNA from 1 species